AAUGAACGUUGGCGGCGUGGAUUAGGCAUGCAAGUCGAGCGGGUGUAGUAAUACAUCAGCGGCGAAAGGGAGAGUAACGCGUAGUUACGUGCCCCGAGGUCCAGAAUAGCUACGGGAAACUGUAGGUAACGCUGGAUAAUAUCUCCGGAUCAAAGGUGUGAUUCCGCCUCGGGAGCGGACUGCGUCCUACUAGCUAGUUGGCGGGGUAAUGGCCCACCAAGGCGACGAUGGGUAGCGGGUGUGAGAGCAUGACCCGUCUCACUGGGACUGAGACACUGCCCAGACACCUACGGGUGGCUGCAGUCGAGAAUCUUCGGGAAUGAGCGCAAGCUUGACCGAGCGACGCCGCGUGCGGGAUGAAGGCCUUCGGGUUGUAAACCGCUUUCGGUUGGGAGGAAAUCGCUAGGGGUUCUCCCCUAGUGUUGACCUAUCUUCGGAAGAAGGACGGGCUAAGUUCGUGCCAGCAGCCGCGGUAACAC
rnacentral:rRNA from 1 species